CUGGUUGAUCCUGCCAGUAGUCCACGCUUGUCUAAAAGAUUAAGCCAUGCAAGUCUAAGUAUAAGCAAAUUAUACUGCGAAACUGCGAACGGCUCAUUAAAUCAGUUGGAAUCUACUCGAUGGUGCCUCGCUACAUGGAUAACUGUGGUAAUUCUAGAGCUAAUACAUGCGUACAAGUCCCGUAAGGGAUGUAUUUAUUAGAUAUAAGCCAGCGGGUUUCGACCCAUGGUGAAUCAUGAUAACUGCUCGAAUCGCAUGGCCUUGCGCCGGCGAUGCUUCGAUCGACCAUCUGCCCUAUCAACUUUCGAUUGUAGGAUAGAGGCCUACAAUGGUGAUGACGGGUAACGGGGAAUAAGGGUUCGAUUCCGGAGAGAGAGCCUUAGAAACGGCUCUCAGGUUUAAGGGCUGCAGCAGGCGCGCAAAUUACCCAAUCCCGACACGGGGAGGUAGUGACAAGAAAUAACAAUGCAGGGCCCUUUCGGGUCUUGCAAUUGGAAUGAGUGCAACGUAAAUCCCUCAACGAGGAUCGAUUAGAGGGCAAGUCUGGU
rnacentral:rRNA from 1 species